rnacentral:rRNA from 1 species
GGAANCCNUUUGUGCNGUUAUCAAAGCAAUGUUNGCCUUCNGCUGCAUNNACACGNNGCGNACGCGUGCNNUAUCGNUCCNGGGAACCUAGNUACUCUCUCACGGCCCUUCGGAGCCGGCNCGNNUAGGUACACCACAAACUCUUGCCCUUGAAUACCUUCUGUCUGAACUGUAGUACAUGAAAAGUUAAAACUUUCAACAACGGAUCUCUUGGUUCUCGCAUCGAUGAAGAACGCAGCGAAAUGCGAUAAGUAGUGUGAAUUGCAGAAUUCCGUGAAUCAUCGAAUCUUUGAACGCACAUUGCGCCCCGUGGUAAUCCGUGGGGCAUGCCUGUUCGAGCGUCACUAAAAUCAACUCAACCACUCUUGUGCUUGGUCAUGGAGGAAGAGUCCACCUUCUUGAGGUCUCCCCUCCCAAAAUCAACGGCGGAAAGUUGCUGGCACUCGGCGUAGUAGUAUCGUUCGCCGACCGUCCAGUGUCCUUCCUGCCGGCAAAUCCCCACAAUUCUCUUGAUUGACCUCGGAUCAGGUAGGGAUACCCGCUGAACUUAAGCAUAUCAAU